rnacentral:rRNA from 1 species
UACGUAGGCAGCGAGCGUUGUUCGGAAUUACUGGGCGUAAAGAGUGUGUAGGCGGUGCUCCCAGUCUGUUGUGAAAUCUCCCGGCUUAACUGGGAGGGUGCAGCGGAAACUAGAGUGCUAGAGGGUGGGAGAGUAAGCGGAAUUCCCGGUGUAGCGGUGAAAUGCGUAGAUAUCGUAAGGAAGACCAGUGGCGAAGGCGGGUCUCUGGACAGUUCCUGACGCUGAGGCACGAAGGUCAGGGAGCAAACGGG